rnacentral:rRNA from 1 species
UGGGGAAUUUUGGGCAAUGGGCGAAAGCCUGACCCAGCAACGCCGCGUGAAGGAUGAAGUAUUUCGGUAUGUAAACUUCGAAAGAAUGGGAAGAAUAAAUGACGGUACCAUUUAUAAGGUCCGGCUAACUACGUGCCAGCAGCCGCGGUAAUACGUAGGGACCAAGCGUUGUUCGGAUUUACUGGGCGUAAAGGGCGCGUAGGCGGCUUAACAAGUCACUUGUGAAAUCUCCGGGCUUAACUCGGAACGGCCAAGUGAAACUGUUAAGCUAGAGUGCAGAAGGGGCAAUCGGAAUUCUUGGUGUAGCGGUGAAAUGCGUAGAUAUCAAGAGGAACACCUGAGGUGAAGACGGGUUGCUGGGCUGACACUGACGCUGAGGCGCGAAAGCCAGGGGAGCAAACGGGAUUAGAUACCCCAGUAGUCCCUGAGCGGGCUGGCAAGGCGCAU